rnacentral:rRNA from 1 species
CCUACGGGAGGCAGCAGUGGGGAAUAUUGCACAAUGGGGGAAACCCUGAUGGUGCGACGCCGCGUGGGGGAAUGAAGGUCUUCGGAUUGUAAACCCCUGUCAUGUGGGAGCAAAUUAAAAAGAUAGUACCACAAGAGGAAGAGACGGCUAACUCUGUGCCAGCAGCCGCGGUAAUACAGAGGUCUCAAGCGUUGUUCGGAAUCACUGGGCGUAAGGCGUGCGUAGGCUGUUUCGUAAGUCGUGUGUGAAAGGCGCGGGCUCAACCCGCGGACGGCACAUGAUACUGGGAGACUAGAGUAAUGGAGGGGGAACCGGAAUUCGCGGUGUAGCAGUGAAAUGCGUAGAUAUCGAGAGGAACACUCGUGGCGAAGGCGGGUUCCUGGACAUUAACUGACGCUGAGGCACGAAGGCCAGGGGAGCGAAAGGGAUUAGAUACCCGUGUAGUC